CUAAAGCCCUGGCUGCCUUAGCAGUGAUGCAGAAUUCUUAGUCGAAAGGAUGCCGAAGAGACGGAGGGGUUCCAUGGGAGCAAACAAGCUGUAACACAGCUCACAACAACAACAACUGCUCACAACCAACAUGGGCGUGGAAUGGAACUUUUUGCUCAAGGCUGCUGCAGCCCACCUUUGUGCUCCCACGCAGUCAUCUCCUUUGUGCCCUCCUCAGAUGAUGAGCUCAGAGCUCCCUUUCCAGGUGAUCCUUUGGAUUCGGAUUCUGUGCGUGUGCCCGUGGGACAACCCAGAGGCCCUGCUGGUGAAUCAGCAGAAUGGAAUCCUGUCUAUG
ensembl:lncRNA